GCCUGUUUUGUGGGGAGCCACGUGAGGAGUCCCUGGGCUCUUGACUGACACCUUAGGACAAAGGAGGCUGCUGCUGCUGCUAAGUCACUUCAGUCAUGUCCAACUCUUCAAGACCCCUAGCCCACCAGGCUCCUCUAUCCCUGGGAUUCUCCAGGCAAGAAUUCUGGAGUGGGUUGCCAUUUCCUUCUCCAAUGCAUGCAUGCAUGCUAAGUGACUUCAGUCGUGUCCGACUCUGUACGACCCCAUAGACGGCAGCCCACCAGACUCCUCUGUCCACAGGAUUCUCUAGGCAAGAAUACUGGAGUGGGUUGCCAUUUCCUUCUCGGACAAAGGAGGUUGGCCCCCCCGCUUUUGUGCCCUUGGCUUCAGGUCCUGGCUUUCCAGGUGUCAUUUCUGUCUGGGCCUCUAGGUGUCGCCCGCCUCCAACGUCCAGUCUGAAUGCGGUUCCCUGAAUUGGCCAACAAAGUCAGCAAACUGGGCUGGACCCCACCAAGUACAGGGCCUGGGUCUCCCUCCCACAGGCUCCUGAGGUCCUAACCGCUGUCCGCACCCCGACCGUUCAGCUCUCCCUGUUGACCCCGCUGCGCCUGCCCCCGGGGGCCGGAGGAGCCCUGGACAUUCGGGUCUCUGCCAGUAGGCCCCAUCAGCGGGGCGCAAGACCACCCUCUGUGCAGUCCCGGCACGGCCAGCGAUCGAGACUGCUGCCUGAGUUCCUUCCCAGCACGCGGCAGUCAUGAAUUGGACCGUCCCGGAGGAGGGUGUACCGAAAUAGUUGUGUUGUUUCUUAACGAAGUUAGUUCUGCUUGCUCAGAGACUCCGGUUUCCACCCGAGAGCGACGCGUUGACAACCUGAGUGCCCCAGGCAUCAUCUGUGUAGACUGACUUGGUGAAGAAGAGCCAAAGAAGCUCAUCUGGAGUAAGAACCAUAGCCCCAAGAAGCACUGAUGUGUCCUCACCUGCCACCCACCUCUGCAAGAACUCUAGCUAUACCUAUCCAUUUGAUUCUUAAAA
ensembl:lncRNA